rnacentral:rRNA from 1 species
UACAGAGGUCUCAAGCGUUGUUCGGAUUCAUUGGGCGUAAAGGGUGCGUAGGCGGCGUCGGUAAGUCGGGUGUGGAAAAUCUCGGGGCUUAACUCCGAAACUGCAUUCGAUACUGCCGUGCUUGAGGACUGGAGAGGAGACUGGAAUUUUACGGUGUAGCGGUGAAAAUGCGUAGAUAUCGUAAGGAAGACCAGUGGCGAAGGCGG